AUGCACAUGCGCCACUGCUUAUUCUUCUUCAAUACUAGGACUGGAUUAGCCAGCCAUUCUGGAAAAAACACUUCCAUGAUGAAUCCGGCUGCUAGAAGCCGGGCUAUUUUUUCUCAGACAACUCUUCUCUUCUCUUCCGACAGGCGGCUCAAGGGCUGCCUGACCGGCUUGGUGUCAGGUUGGACAUGUAACUUGUGCUCGGCGAAAUCCGUCGGAACACCCGGCAUGUCUUUGGGAGACCAUGAGAAGAUGUCCCGAUUCUCACGGAGGAAAUCGACGAGCUCGCUUUCCUAUUUGUUGUCAAGGUUUGCACCUAUGACAGCGUGCCUCUCCGGGUGCUCCGGGUCCAGGGGUAUCUUCUUUGUUUCCUUGGCCGGCUUGAACGAGCCCUCAACCUCCGACUCCUGGUGGAUGAGUGACAUUUCCGGCUUCUUGCCUGCCAACACCACCACUCGGUCAAGGAGUCGCUUCUCAGCUGCGAUCACGAGGGACUAG
rnacentral:rRNA from 1 species